GAUGAACGCUGGCGGCGUGCCUAAUACAUGCAAGUCGAGCGAACGGACGAGAAGCUUGCUUCUCUGAUGUUAGCGGCGGACGGGUGAGUAACAAGUGGAUAACCUCCCUAUAAGACUGGGAUAACUUCGGGAAACCGGCGCUAAUACCGGAUAAUAUUUUGAACCGCAUGGUUCAAAAGUGAAAGACGGUCUUGCUGUCACUUAUAGAUGGAUCCGCGCUGCAUUAGCUAGUUGGUAAGGUAACGGCUUACCAAGGCAACGAUGCAUAGCCGACCUGAGAGGCGGAUCGGCCACACUGGAACUGAGACACGGUCCAGACUCCUGAGGGAGGGAGCAGUAGGGAAUCUUCCGCAAUGGGCGAGAACCUGACGGAGCAACGCCGCGUGAGUGAUGAAGGUCUUCGGAGCGUAAAACUCGGUUAUUAGGGAUGAACAUAUGUGUAAGUAACUGUGCACAUCUUGACGGUACCUAAUCAGAAAGCAACGGCUAACUACGUG
rnacentral:rRNA from 1 species